UUAAGUUAUUAAGGGCGCACGGUGGAUGCCUUGGCACUAGAAGCCGAUGAAGGACGUUACUAACGACGAUAUGCUUUGGGGAGCUGUAAGUAAGCUUUGAUCCAGAGAUUUCCGAAUGGGGAAACCCAACAUGAGUUAUGUCAUGUUAUCGAUAUGUGAAUACAUAGCAUAUCAGAAGGCACACCCGGAGAACUGAAACAUCUUAGUACCCGGAGGAAGAGAAAGAAAAUUCGAUUCCCUUAGUAGCGGCGAGCGAAACGGGAAGAGCCCAAACCAACAAGCUUGCUUGUUGGGGUUGUAGGACACUCUAUACGGAGUUACAAAGGACGACAUUAGACGAAUCAUCUGGAAAGAUGAAUCAAAGAAGGUAAUAAUCCUGUAGUCGAAAAUGUUGUCUCUCUUGAGUGGAUCCUGAGUACGACGGAGCACGUGAAAUUCCGUCGGAAUCUGGGAGGACCAUCUCCUAAGGCUAAAUACUCUCUAGUGACCGAUAGUGAACCAGUACCGUGAGGGAAAGGUGAAAAGCACCCCGGAAGGGGAGUGAAAUAGAACCUGAAACCGUGUGCUUACAAGUAGUCAGAGCCCGUUAAUGGGUGAUGGCGUGCCUUUUGUAGAAUGAACCGGCGAGUUACGAUUUGAUGCAAGGUUAAGCAGUAAAUGUGGAGCCGUAGCGAAAGCGAGUCUGAAUAGGGCGUUUAGUAUUUGGUCGUAGACCCGAAACCAGGUGAUCUACCCUUGGUCAGGUUGAAGUUCAGGUAACACUGAAUGGAGGACCGAACCGACUUACGUUGAAAAGUGAGCGGAUGAACUGAGGGUAGCGGAGAAAUUCCAAUCGAACCUGGAGAUAGCUGGUUCUCUCCGAAAUAGCUUUAGGGCUAGCCUCAAGUGAUGAUUAUUGGAGGUAGAGCACUGUUUGGACGAGGGGCCCCUCUCGGGUUACCGAAUUCAGACAAACUCCGAAUGCCAAUUAAUUUAACUUGGGAGUCAGAACAUGGGUGAUAAGGUCCGUGUUCGAAAGGGAAACAGCCCAGACCACCAGCUAAGGUCCCAAAAUAUAUGUUAAGUGGAAAAGGAUGUGGCGUUGCCCAGACAACUAGGAUGUUGGCUUAGAAGCAGCCAUCAUUUAAAGAGUGCGUAAUAGCUCACUAGUCGAGUGACACUGCGCCGAAAAUGUACCGGGGCUAAACAUAUUACCGAAGCUGUGGAUUGUCCUUUGGACAAUGGUAGGAGAGCGUUCUAAGGGCGUUGAAGCAUGAUCGNNNNNNNNNNNNNNNNAAGGACAUGUGGAGCGCUUAGAAGUGAGAAUGCCGGUGUGAGUAGCGAAAGACGGGUGAGAAUCCCGUCCACCGAUUGACUAAGGUUUCCAGAGGAAGGCUCGUCCGCUCUGGGUUAGUCGGGUCCUAAGCUGAGGCCGACAGGCGUAGGCGAUGGAUAACAGGUUGAUAUUCCUGUACCACCUAUAAUCGUUUUAAUCGAUGGGGGGACGCAGUAGGAUAGGCGAAGCGUGCGAUUGGAUUGCACGUCUAAGCAGUAAGGCUGAGUAUUAGGCAAAUCCGGUACUCAUUAAGGCUGAGCUGUGAUGGGGAGAAGACAUUGUGUCUUCGAGUCGUUGAUUUCACACUGCCGAGAAAAGCCUCUAGAUAGAAAAUAGGUGCCCGUACCGCAAACCGACACAGGUAGUCAAGAUGAGAAUUCUAAGGUGAGCGAGCGAACUCUCGUUAAGGAACUCGGCAAAAUGACCCCGUAACUUCGGGAGAAGGGGUGCUCUUUAGGGUUAACGCCCAGAAGAGCCGCAGUGAAUAGGCCCAAGCGACUGUUUAUCAAAAACACAGGUCUCUGCUAAACCGUAAGGUGAUGUAUAGGGGCUGACGCCUGCCCGGUGCUGGAAGGUUAAGAGGAGUGGUUAGCUUCUGCGAAGCUACGAAUCGAAGCCCCAGUAAACGGCGGCCGUAACUAUAACGGUCCUAAGGUAGCGAAAUUCCUUGUCGGGUAAGUUCCGACCCGCACGAAAGGCGUAACGAUUUGGGCACUGUCUCAACGAGAGACUCGGUGAAAUCAUAGUACCUGUGAAGAUGCAGGUUACCCGCGACAGGACGGAAAGACCCCGUGGAGCUUUACUGUAGCCUGAUAUUGAAAUUCGGCACAGCUUGUACAGGAUAGGUAGGAGCCUUUGAAACGUGAGCGCUAGCUUACGUGGAGGCGCUGGUGGGAUACUACCCUAGCUGUGUUGGCUUUCUAACCCGCACCACUUAUCGUGGUGGGAGACAGUGUCAGGCGGGCAGUUUGACUGGGGCGGUCGCCUCCUAAAAGGUAACGGAGGCGCUCAAAGGUUCCCUCAGAAUGGUUGGAAAUCAUUCAUAGAGUGUAAAGGCAUAAGGGAGCUUGACUGCGAGACCUACAAGUCGAGCAGGGUCGAAAGACGGACUUAGUGAUCCGGUGGUUCCGCAUGGAAGGGCCAUCGCUCAACGGAUAAAAGCUACCCCGGGGAUAACAGGCUUAUCUCCCCCAAGAGUUCACAUCGACGGGGAGGUUUGGCACCUCGAUGUCGGCUCAUCGCAUCCUGGGGCUGUAGUCGGUCCCAAGGGUUGGGCUGUUCGCCCAUUAAAGCGGUACGCGAGCUGGGUUCAGAACGUCGUGAGACAGUUCGGUCCCUAUCCGUCGUGGGCGUAGGAAAUUUGAGAGGAGCUGUCCUUAGUACGAGAGGACCGGGAUGGACAUACCUCUGGUGUACCAGUUGUCGUGCCAACGGCAUAGCUGGGUAGCUAUGUGUGGACGGGAUAAGUGCUGAAAGCAUCUAAGCAUGAAGCCCCCCUCAAGAUGAGAUUUCCCAACUUCGGUUAUAAGAUCCCUCAAAGAUGAUGAGGUUAAUAGGUUCGAGGUGGAAGCAUGGUGACAUGUGGAGCUGACGAAUACUAAUCGAUCGAAGACUUAAUCAA
rnacentral:rRNA from 1 species